AGCAUCAAUAGUAGUAUGGCGUUGACAUACACUCUUUUCCAAGUGGCGAUCGCCUUGCUGGCGAUCUUCACUUACUAUCUCCACCGGAAAUUAACGUUCUUUAAGCGUCGGGGGAUUCCCUUCGAGAAACCACAUCCGAUCAGAGGAAACAUGGAGGAAUUGCAGAAAACUAAGAACUUCCACCAGAUACUCCAAGAUCAUUACAACAAAUUUCGUGAGAGCAAAGCUCCCUUUGUGGGAUUUUUCCUUUUCCACAACCCUGCUGCCUUUGUGAUAGAUCUGGAGCUGGCCAAGAAUGUUCUGAUUAAGGAUUUCUCCAACUUCUCUGACAAGGGAUUCUUUUAUAACGAGAAAAAAGAUCCCAUUUCCGCACAUCUCUUCAAUCUGGAUGGACCCCAGUGGCGUUUGCUGAGGAACAAAUUAUCCUCGACUUUUACAUCGGGUAAAAUGAAGUUUAUGUAUCCAACAGUGGUGUCCGUUGCCGAUGAAUUUAUGGCCGUGAUGCACGAAAAGGUGGCCCAAAACGCAGUCCUUGAAGUCCGUGAUUUGGUGGCCAGGUUCACGGUGGAUGUCAUCGGAACCUGUGCCUUUGGCAUCAAGUGCAACAGUCUGCGCGACGAAAAGGCCGAGUUCCUUCACUUUGGCCGGAGAUCUUUGGUGGACAGGCGACAUGGUACUCUGCUGAACGGUUUCAUGCGCAGCUAUCCCAAUUUGGCCAGAAAACUGGGCCUGGUUCGAACUGCCCAGCAUAUUCAGGAUUUCUAUCGCAGGAUAGUCACUGAUACAGUGGCGGUGCGAGAAAAGGAGAACAUCAAACGGAAUGACUUCAUGGACAUGCUCAUCGAAAUGAAGAAUCAAAAGGAAAUUAAACUCGAUAAUGGCGAAGUGGUCAAGGGACUGACCAUUGAGGAGGUCCUUGCCCAAGCCUUUGUCUUUUUCAUAGCUGGCUUCGAAACAUCCUCCUCCACCAUGGGAUUUGCUCUCUACGAACUGGCCAGGAAUCCGCAUAUCCAAGAUAAGGUUAGGACUGAAGUGGAAGAGGUUCUGGAGAAGCACAAUCAAAAGUUUACCUAUGAGUGUACUAGGGAUUUCAAGUACCUCAACCAGGUUAUCAAUGAAACUUCACGUCUUUAUACCAUUGUACCCAAUCUGGAUCGAAAGGCCCUUAAGCGGUACGUGGUUCCCGGACAUCCGAAGUUCGUCAUUGAGGCUGGUCAGUCGGUCAUCGUACCCUCAUGUGCCAUUCACCACGAUCCUAGUAUUUAUCCCGAACCCUUCGAGUUCCGGCCCGAGCGAUUCUCUCCUGAGGAAUCCGCCAAUCGUCCUUCAGUUGCUUGGCUGCCUUUUGGAGAUGGUCCUCGCAACUGCAUUGGCAUGCGAUUCGGAAUGAUGCAGGCUCGCAUUGGACUUGCUCUACUCAUCAAGAACUUUAGGUUCUCCACCUGCUCGAAAACUCCGGAUCCUCUGGUCUACGAUCCCAACUCUUUUGUGCUCGGUAUUAAGGACGGAAUCUAUCUCAAAUUGGAGGUAGUCUAAAUACGUGCCUGAGAGCCAUUAAAUCGGUGCCAAAGCUUAUGGAAGAUAACAGAUAGAUAGUUUUUAAUUUGUAGACUACCUCCCAUUGAAUCAUGUUGAGGCAGGUUUAAGCCAAUCUGGUUGCUCCCUUUAUUAAUAGGCAUUCUUAAGAUCUGUUUAACAGGUACUUUGCGGUCGAGACGCAGCCAAUGGCAAAACUUAUCAACCUGUGUCAAGUCAGAUUUCCUACAAACGGCGAAGAUAAGU